UACGUAGGGUGCGAGCGUUAAUCGGAAUUACUGGGCGUAAAGCGUGCGCAGGCGGCGCGUUAAGACAGGUGUGAAAGCCCCGAGCUUAACUUGGGAAUUGCGCUUGUGACUGGCGUGCUGGAGUGUGGCAGAGGGAGGUGGAAUUCCACGUGUAGCAGUGAAAUGCGUAGAGAUGGGGAGGAACACCGAUGGCGAAGGCAGCCUCCUGGGCCAGCACUGACGCUCAUGCACGAAAGCGUGGGGAGCAAACAGG
rnacentral:rRNA from 1 species